rnacentral:rRNA from 1 species
GAGGAAGUAAAAGUCGUAACAAGGUUUCCGUAGGUGAGACCUGCGGAAGGAUCAUUA